CCUACGGGUGGCAGCAGUGGGGAAUAUUUCACAAUGGGGGAAACCCUGAUGCAGCGACGCCGCGUGAGUGAAGAAGUAUUUCGGUAUGUAAAGCUCUAUCAGCGGGGAAGAAAAUGACGGUACCUGAUUACGACGCCCCGGCUAACUACGUUCCAGCCGCCGCGGUCAUACGUAGGGGGCAAGCGUUAACCGGAUUUACUGGGGGUAAAGGGAGCGUAGACGGCAGCACAAGUCUGGAGUGAAAUGCCGGGGCUUAACCCCGGAACUGCUUUGGAAACUGUGCAGCUAGAGUGCAGGAGAGGUAAGUGGAAUUCCUAGUGUAGCGGUGAAAUGCGUAGAUAUUAGGAGGAACACCAGUGGCGAAGGCGGCUUACUGGACUGUAACUGACGUUGAGGCUCGAAAGCGUGGGGAGCAAACAGGAUUAGAUACCCGGGUAGUC
rnacentral:rRNA from 1 species